UACGUAGGGACCGAGCGUUGUCCGGAAUCAUUGGGCGUAAAGAGCGUGUAGGCGGCUAUUUAAGUCCUGCGUGAAAUCCUGCGGCUCAACCGCAGACGGUCGUGGGAAACUGGAUGGCUAGAGUGCGGGAGAGGAGAGUGGAAUUCCCGGUGUAGCGGUGAAAUGCGCAGAUAUCGGGAAGAACACCCGUGGCGAAGGCGGCUCUCUGGAACGCAACUGACGCUGAGACACGAAAGCGUGGGGAGCAAACAGG
rnacentral:rRNA from 1 species